rnacentral:rRNA from 1 species
UACAGAGGUCUCAAGCGUUGUUCGGAUUCAUUGGGCGUAAAGGGUGCGUAGGUGGCGCCGUAAGUCGGGUGUGAAAUUUCGGAGCUUAACUCCGAAACUGCAUUCGAUACUGCGGUGCUUGAGGACUGGAGAGGAGACUGGAAUUCAUGGUGUAGCAGUGAAAUGCGUAGAGAUCAUGAGGAAGACCAGUGGCGAAGGCGGGUCUCUGGACAGUUCCUGACACUGAGGCACGAAGGCCCAGGGGGGAGCAAACGGG